ACCCGGCUGGCUCAGCCGAGGGAGCGCGGGACUCUUGAUCUCGAGGUUGUGAGUUCGAGCCCCACAUUGGGUA
rnacentral:tRNA from 1 species